rnacentral:rRNA from 1 species
AUGGAGAGUCGGACCUGCCCAGUGAAGUAUUUUCAACGGCCGCGGUACUCUGACCGUGCAAAGGUAGCAUAAUCAUUUGCCUUAUAAUUGAAGGCUGGAAUGAAUGGUUUGACAAGAGUGCAGCUGUCUCUUUUUAGUUUGAUAAAAUUUUAUUUUUAGGUGAAGAAGCCUAAAUUUAAUUGAAAGACAAGAAGACCCUAUCGAGCUUGAAAAAAAUUAGUAAGUUUAAAAUAAAUAUUAAAUAAAAUAUUAAUUGCUAAACAUUUUGGUUGGGGCGACUGAGGAACAAAAGAAGCUUCCUUUAUUAUAUAUUAAAUUUAUUUAUAAUGACCCAGAAUUGUUUGAUCAAAAAAAUUAGUUACCGUAGGGAUAACAGCAUUAUCUUUUUUGAGAGCCCAUAUCGAAAAAAAGGUUUGUGACCUCGAUGUUGGACCAGAAUAUCCCAAAGAUGCAGCAGUCUUUAAAGGUUGGUCUGUUCGACCAUUAAAAUUCUA